rnacentral:snRNA from 1 species
AUACUUGACUGGCAGGGGAGACACCAUGAUCAGGAAGGUGAUUUUCCCAGGGCGAGGCUCAUCCAUUGCAUUGCAGGUGUGCUGACCCCUGCGAUUUCCCCAAAUGCGGGAAACUCGACUGCAUAAUUUGUGGUAGUGGGGGACUGCAUUCACACUCUCCCUUG